GGAGGCCGCUUACCACGGUGGGAUUCAUGACUGGGGUGAAGUCGUAACAAGGUAGCCGUAGGGGAACCUGCGGCUGGAUCACCUCCUUUCUAGA
rnacentral:rRNA from 1 species